AGUCCCGAGGUGUUAUACAUACAAGAUUGCAAAUCUUGAGUAGUCAAUUAAGUUUUACCGGGGCUU
rnacentral:tRNA from 1 species